rnacentral:rRNA from 1 species
CCUACGGGAGGCAGCAGUGGGGAAUAUUGCACAAUGGGGGAAACCCUGAUGCAGCGACGCCGCGUGAGUGAAGAAGUAUUUCGGUAUGUAAAGCUCUAUCAGCAGGGAAGAAAAUGACGGUACCUGAUUAAGAAGCCCCGGCUGACUACUUCCCAGAAGCCGGGGUAAUACGAAGGGGGCACGCGUUAUCCGGAUUUACUGGGUGGAAAGGGAGCGUAGACGGCAGCACAAGUCUGAAGUGAAAUGCCGGGGCUUAACCCCGGAACUGCUUGGGAAACUGUGCAGCUAGAGUGCAGGAGAGGUAAGUGGAAUUCCUAGUGUAGCGGUGAAAUGCGUAGAUAUUAGGAGGAACACCAGUGGCGAAGGCGGCUUACUGGACUGUAACUGACGUUGAGGCUCGAAAGCGUGGGGAGCAAACAGGAUUAGAUACCCCGGUAGUC